rnacentral:lncRNA from 11 species
AUAAAUAGAUGUGAAAUUCCAAAAAAGAACAAGAUAUUCCAAAGCUUUGAAAAAAAUUGGACUACAAUUCCCAGAAUCCCCUCUAUACAGCAGACAUGGUUCAUAUCCCUGCUGGCUUGUCCAAAAAGUUGUGUAGGAGUCCCUUUUCAGAAGCCAACCACAUGGCACUUCACCCCUUUUGCUGGAGGAAAGGAGAAUUUUCAGUUGACAGUCUUGUCUUUUGAUGGAGCUGAAGGAGCCUGGUGUAAAGAAUGCUUGAGGAAGAGAGGAAGAAAAUAACAGCAAUCCAUUCACCUGUCAGCCAAGUGAGCCAACCCACUUCACACCAUCAAAGAGACUCUUUCUGAAGUAGUGAGGCUGGUCUUCUCCAGACAGCCUUACUAGCCCCAGAGAACCAAAGAACUUUCUGUGAAAUUUUGAAGGAAACAAUAUUUUG